GGCAACCCUAGGGCCCUGUCCCAUUCCAGACUGUGGAAGCUUUGUUAUUCGUUCUUUGCAAUAAAUCUUGCUACUGCUCAGUCGUUGGGUCCACACUGCCUUUACAAGCUGUAACACUCACCAUGAAGGUCUGCAGCUUCACUCCUGAAGCCAGCGAGACCACGAACCCACUGGGAGGAAUGAACAACUCCAGACGCGCCACAUUAAGAGCUGUAACACUCACCGCGAAGGUCUGCAGCUUCACUCCUGAGCCAGCGAGACCAUGAACCCACCAGAAGAAACAAACUCCGGACACAUCCGAACAUCAGAAGGAAUAAACUCCAGACACACCGCCUUUAAGAACUGUAACACUCACCGCGAGGGUUCGCGACUUCAUUCUUGAAGUCAGUGAGACCAAGAACCCACCAAUUCUGGACUCAGUAUGUUAUAGACCCCAUACCAGGCCCCGGGAGUGGAGAAUGGGCUAUGAUCACUGCCAGCAAGAUUGCCAUUAUCUAGCAGAUAGAAACAGAAAUAUCAGACAUAUUAUGCCUGCAUAGAAAUUUGCCAUAGAAGAGGAAGAGAAAAAGGAGGGGGAAGAAGAAGAGGAAGAGGACGAUAUUAUCCAAAUAUUUCUCUUAUAUUGGGCAGAUGACUUGGAAAGGGGAAAAUAUUAUAAAGUGAAACAUAUGCAAUUUGAAUUAUUUGAAAGCCCUACAACUAUUAUUAUAGAAAGAAAUCUGGCCCAAAUAGAAGUGUCUCCAAUACUACUUAAUGUUUUCUUAUACACUAAAAGCUGAUGUACUAUUUGGGAAAAAAUAGGAGCUGGAAAAAUGUCCACCUAACAUGUUCAAAGGAAUGUCAUUAUCCUUUAUAUUUCUCUGUGCCUGAGGCAGACUUUUCCUUUGUUCUUUUCUCAAUUGGUCUCUUAAUAAAGCCUAAGGAGGAGAAACUUUGCUUCCCCAUUAAAGUAAGGCUAUUAAUUAACCAUAUUUGCCAAAUAAGACUGGGAAAGUAAAGUAUUAAGUAGGAGUCAAACUCAAAUGCUGCAAAGUCCUAACUGUGAAUGCAAUACAGAGAACUUUCAAUGGUAGAACCACCAUUUGUGCUUCAACUUAUAGGGGGGUAAAACACCAACAUUAUUUUAAGAUCUGGUUGCUAGCAAUCAAAACCUAGGCUUUUGGGCCUCUUUGUGAUGUAUGGUAGAAAACUGCAUUGUUGUUGUUGUUGUUUUAAUUUAUGUAAAAAUCUCAGAAAAUGGCCUUGACUUAAAAAAACAAAAAGCAAACAAGUAAGCAAAAAAUCCUGUCUAGAGAGGGACCACAUAGGAUCUAGGGACACUACUGAAUAAUUCCAGGGAAGAGGAAUUUCCUCUCUUGUGCUGAUUUGAUGAAAAGGAGAAAGCCUUAGAGGGGUUAAACACUGGUUUGGAAUAAGGCAGAAAUAGAAAAGAAAAGAUCUCCAAGAGAAGUUCUAUUCUCAGAAGCAGACGGGGCUGAAAGCCGCCUCUGGCAGACAGACCCCCAUCCUCAAAGAGGCAGCCAGGAGCUCAAAAGCUAUGAAGAAAGUCUACCAAAGAGACAGAGAAGGCAAGUCUUAGUGGGGAACUGGAAAAAAGGGGAGCAUAGAAACUCAUCAGAAUGGAAAAAUAUAAAACACAACAAAGCUUUCAUCUAAAAUGGAGUAUUUUUAUAUGCAAAUGAGUCAAGUCAAACUAAGAAGUGAUAGUCAAAGGGCAAGCCAGAAGUAGGGGAAAGUAGUUUUCCUAGUCAUGCAAAUGAAGAUCUCAAAUUUGAUUUGUGACCUCACAAAUGAGAAAUUGAAAGUGGCCUAGACCAUUAGAAGUAUAAGAUAAUGUUAUAUGUCAUGGGAGAGAAAAGGUUUCCAAAUAUAGAAGGGAUUUGAUAUAUUUUUUGAACUCCAAGACAUAUUAAUUUUCUCAUUCUUAUAUUAGUCUUCAUCCUAUUUAAUGGUCCAGCACUGUAGUGCCCAAUUAUAGGCAAUGUGGUUUGUUGGUCAAUCAAAGAAAUGAAGACUUAGGAGUCAGAUUCUUGCCCAGAUUCUACUUCUUAAAGUAACCUCAGGAAACCAAGUCUUAAGUUCUUACUCUCUUCUCUGAAUACUAAUCCUCUCUUAUUUCCAUAAAGGGUCCCUAUUUUAAGCAAGUAUUUGAAUCCUCAAAUUGAAAGAUUUUAAGCAAUGAGAAAGAACAAACCAAAAAAUUGUAUCAAAAUUACUAAGGUUUACUAAAGAGAAAAAAAUGACAAAUUCAUGGGAAAAGAUCCUAAAACAAAAUCAGAUUAAGGUCUUUGACCUAUUGAAUCACUAAUCUUGGAAGAAUUGAGAUUUCAUAGUUAUUCUUUAAAUGGAAAGAAUGAUCUUGCAUCCUCUGGUACAAAUUCUAUUCAUACUUUUAUAAGAGGAAGGAAAAAAGUACGUAUUUCAGGAUAUUGCCUUUUUUAUCCAUAAAUCUUCUUAAAUCUAAAAUAAGCCUCUGAGAGAAGUGUACACCAGGAGGCUGGACUUUGCCUGCUGUGAGGAAUUACAUGGAUGUGGGCAUAAUUUGUGAAAUAUAUCUAUAUAUCUAUAUAUGGAAAUAUAUUAAAAAGUCAGUUGAGUUUUUCAGGUUCCUUUAGUUUUUGGACAAAGAAGAGAAGUAUUUCUCUUCUUAUAGAUUAUAGUGGUAAAUGAAAUGAUGACACCAAAGUUUUACCUAAAUAUAAACUUUAAAGAAAAGAGAAGGAGAGGAAGAAAAGUUGAAGGAAUUGGGAAAGGAGAAAAGGAGGCAGAGAAUAAGAAAAGAAGAAAAGGAAGAGGAGGAGAAAGAGCUAGAGGAAAAGGAGAAGAGAAGGGAAGAGGAGGAGGGAUCCAAAGCUUUUUUAUUUUCAAAAUACGCUGUGUGAUUGAAUUCCAAUUUUCCUUUCCUAAGCUGGUUUUUACUGACAUUGAUAUUACCAGAGGUUAAGAGGAUGUGAUUUAAACGUUGUUAAUGAAAUGUAUCAAUACCUUCCUCUCACAAAUCAGCCAUGCUUGGCCAGGAAAAGUGUGGCUUGCAGUUAUAUCUAAAAUGCCCAUGCUUGGUGCAUGCAAAGGGGAAAAGGAAACUACAAUUAAUAGAGCACUUACUUGGGGUGAGGUCUUUAACGCUGGAGACAGCAUUCCCCUUACACUAACUUAUGUGGCAGCAAUAUUGUCCAUUUUGAAGAGGAAAAUGUGUGUGUUGGUCAAGGUCUCAUGACCAAGUAGAGGCAAAGCCACAAUUCAAACCCAAUUGGGUUUGACCAUAGAGCCUCUUCUCUUUUGCUAUCACUUGCUACCUCCAUGAACCUGACUUGUUUUCAGUAAAUAUUUGGCUUCAUCCAAGAUCUGGUGAGAUUAGCACUCCUCCACUGGCCAUGCAUCUCAAAACAUAUUCUUUCAUUCUUGUAAAACACCAAGGCAAGUCUUUCACAUGAAGAAGGCAUAUUAAGGGUCCUUGGUUUUUGACAGUCACCUAUACUGUUAGAAAUGCCUACCUACAAGACACUUGCUUCACAUUCUGACACACGUAAAGCCUUCAUUACAUUGAAGGUAGGCUUUCAAGUCAAAGACGGAACCAGUCCUAUGAACCAUAGAAGCUUAUAUAGGUUAGUGUCUUUUACACAAGUAAUAUCCUCCAAACACUCUAAGUAAUGCACAGGUUUAAAUCCUUAGUGCUCCCCUGUCAAACUGCCCAUCAAUGGCUUGGUAAAAGCCACCCAGAAUGGACUUUUCCUGUCCUGUAUAUUCUAUUGCUUGGUCUUUUUACUUCAAAUUAAUUGCACCUGUUUGCACUUCCCGGAGUUUAGAAGAGUUAUGGGUCACUCUUUUACUAUAACUACCAAUGUACCCUGUCAGGGGUGGUCUCAUAUGAAAAACUAAAGAUAAUCUCAAUGAAAUAUCAAUAUGUCUGAAGAGCAAUAAGAAAAAUUAUUGAUUCUACCUUGAUCUACAAGACUCAUGGAGAAAAAAAAAAGAAAGCAUUUAACCACCCCAAUAAAACAGAGAAAAGAAAAAGCUAUGCUAUGGCUCCUUUAACUUCCAAGCCAGAAUGGUGACUGCUUUAUAGAGAGUUUGAAUUCAAUCUACCUCACGUUACUUCUUAACCCAUGUGUAGUCUCUGGACCAGCAGUAUUAAUAUCACUGUGGAGUUUCUUAGAAGUGCAGAAUCUCAUAAUGCACCUUUUGUUACCGCUGCAUCAGAAUCUGCAUAUUAACGAGAUUCUACCCUAGGUGACUCAUAUACUCAUUCAUAUACAUUGACCUAUUGAACCUUGGAACAAAAAAGAAAUAUUCCUUUUCUUGGAGUUUAUACUAGAAAUAAUAAUUGCACUAAAAAAUAAUAAUGUAAUAGUAGAAAUAACUUUAAAAUAAUAAAUUUCCACAAAAUAAUCAUUACACCAAAGUUAUAUCCAAAUAAAAAGACUCAUCUUAAAAGGAGAAUGGGGAUAAUUUUAAACUUAAUUUUUUUAAAUAAGUCACAAUGAUCAAAGUCAAAUUUUUGUUUCCUAAACUGUUUGGUCAACAUUGAUAUAACCACAGGUUGAGUGAAGGCAUUCCUUCAUGUAUAAAUAGGAAUAAUAUUGCCCACCUCACAGUAUUGUGAUGAGAAUUAAAUAAGAUAAUGUGUGAACAGUGCCUGGCACCACGCAGGCACUCAAAAAAUACUAGGCUGUAUUCAUGACAAUUAUUACUAAUUUUUGUACCAGAGCCAAAGUACAUUAACUGGCCAAUUUAACUGGCCUCUUAGUCAAUUUAAUUUUCUCCUCUGCCCUUUUAGAAAUAUGUAGAUUUAUAAUUACAGCAAAACUUGGCUCUAUAUUUCUUAAAUUUUUAAGAAAUAUACCCAAUGUGGCUAGAUAAAGGAAAUUCUCCAAAUACUCCAGACAUUAACAUACUGAUUCUACAUUCUCCUGUGGCUCAAAAAUAAACAGUAUAAUAUUCACCAGUGCAAUUAUAAUUAGAAUAGGAAAUUCUUCAGUUAGGCUUUGUCUCGUGACAAAGAUUAUCAUCCAGUUACCAUUCCCUUAGCAUUCUCUCUCAUGUGACAAACCCACCACAAUCUGUAACCGUCAACCUGGUUGCCAUUUCUAAUCCUAGCCUCAGAACUGUGAGCCGUGUAAUUAUCACUAUGCCAUAUUAGCAUUUGUGGGAUCCCUUGAUACUAAUGGGAUGCAAAAGGUGACACGUGUAUGGAUUGUGUCAAGUUGUCACAUUGCACAAAAACAUGGUCCCAAUUCCACAGGCUGUAAUAUCCACCUAAUGAUACACUCAUGUCACAGAAGUACAUAAAUAGCGUUCUGCUGCUCACUAUGCAGUAGGAUGUGCUCGGGGGGAUGUAAGUGAAUGAGUGAUCACAUGUCACACUAGAUGAUUAAAAAUGAGUGGGUCCCUUUUAGAGAUUAGUGGAUGUUAAAUUAUUUCAUUCACUUGCUAUUCAUGAUGAAUAAUAAAUCACUCUCAGAGUCUGCUGGUCUAUUCAUUUAUUACAUGAGGAUGCUUAGAAGUUAAUACUCUGAGAUAGCCAACCCAGCAAGAAUGGAGUCAGGGGAUGAGGAAUUCCAGUUUUGAUUGCAAUUUUUUUUUAAUGCUGGGCCUAAUAUUCAGCCAGAUUUUUUUCAGAGUUACACACAAUUAUAUCUGUUUCCUAGUUUUCUUUAAGACUUCUGCUUAGACUGUUCUAGUGUCUAAAAUGCUAUUGGAGAGUCUUUUGAGAUCAAAAAGUCUAUUCAUCUAAAUUAAUACUUCCUAAAACUAUAUUAUUUCAGCCUCUAUUUUGUAGGUAUCUGGAGGAUUCAUUUCCUUAUAGAGCAUCUCUUGAACUCUUCACAGAAUGUACAACACACUCAGCCCCUUUCUUCUAAGAAUGCAAUUAAUCAAUUCUUUCAGCUAGGAUUUAUUGAGUGCCUGUUAUACUCUCAAUGCUCUGAUAGAGAUUGUAGAUGAGAAGAAUAUUAGCCAUAUUUUUGGCUCUGGAAAAGCUUAAAAUUCAAUUAGGAAAAUGAUAUAUUAGUAUACAUAAAAUGAUAAAAGAUCAAUAAACAUCUAGUGUACGUGAACUUUAGGCUAUGCGCCAUGUUGGGGACCUUCACAAAUAUUAUGUAAUCUAAUUCAAUUAUAACAAUAUUUGGGGGUUAGUAUUAUCAUCAUUUUACAAAUAAAGAAAUUAAACCUCAGAGAUGUGAUUUGCUUGUGUCCAGACAGGUGAUCAGUGGAAGAAGUGAGAUUCAAACCCCUCUGAACUCUAAGCCCAGUAAACUUUCCAUAAUUUCAAAUCUUCCAAGCACAGUGUGUGUGAUAAUUAAGUGCUAAUUUGUGUGGCAAGAAAACAGAAGCUUCUAGUUCACUGAAGAGGGUGUAGAAUUAUCAAAUAAGCCUUUGCAGAGAUAGGGUCUUCACUGAGUGGGGCUUUGAAGGCUGAAUAUGAUGCAAGGGGCAGAGGAGAAAGGAAACAACAAAGGUAAAAACCCAGAAUCCAAAACAAGAGAGUAUUCCCAAGCAGAGAGGAUCGGAUUAUGAAGGGUCUAGAAAGUUAAGCAAAAAAACUGUCAGAUGCCAGGCAGUAAGAAAAAGAGCUACUGGAAGGUGUUGACAAAGAUUCUGUCCUUGACCAAACUUUAGACAGGUUCCUCUGAGCCAUCUUCACAACUAGGUCUAGGUCUCAACCUUGGCCUACGAGAACUGCAAACUCUGAGAAAAAAUGAUUUUGUCCAUCCUCACCUCCACACUACGAGACUUAAGCUCCAGCAUGCCUUCUAUCCGCCCAAGGCCAUGUUCUUAGGAUGACCUCAGUCCCCUGAAAAUAUCUGCUUGAGGAAAGCUCAACACUGCCAAAAGAAUUUACUAUUUUUUCAGCUAAACCCAGACCGUAGGCCUCUGGCAUCUUUCUCUUAGAGCAUUUACUUCAGAAAACUUGCAAUUGACAAUCUUUUCUGUCCCUUUGAGAUGUAUCUUCUACAACCCAGGAAUGUGCUUCUCAAGGACCUAGGAUCCAUCCCUUUGAGGUCAUCAGGAAGAAUAGGAUUUCCAUUGCUCGGUCUUUUUGGGAAGGUGGGAACCUUAACUUCCAUAAGUACCAGUUAGCAAACACAAACGGCCUAAUCACACUGGCCAACGCCACCCCCAACCAAUAUCCUUCAGUAUUUUUCCUUUAGCAUACCAGUGUUUAUAAAGUCUUCCAUUUUUUUCUUUAUUUUUCUUUUUUUUUUUUUUUAGUGGAGUUGAGUUCAACUGGAGUCUCUUUCCCCCACUGCAGUAUCCUAAAUAAAAUGUUUUUCUAUCUUGAAUAAACAUUGUCUCUGUUUUUAUUUGAUGGUUUGGGGAAGCAGAGUGAUAAUAAAAAUAAUGUUCAGCUUAGUAGCAGGAAGCAAAAUGGGUCUCUGUCCCCUUAAAAUCCUUUAAUAGAUCCUUAUCACAUCCAGCUUAAAGUCCAAAGAAUUGAGCAUGUCACACAAGGUCCUCCAGGUUCUGGUUGUCAUCUGCCACUCCAGCUUCGUCUUUCUCCACUCUCCAACCAACACUCAGUAUUUCUGCUAUAAGGCCAUCUAAAGUCUAUUGCUGUGACACAUGAUUGUGAACUGGUCUCUCCAAACAGAGACUCCACCGUCUGAUGAGGAUCCAUCUCUUCCAGUCCAUCCAUUAAGAACUCCUCCCUCUGAGAACAUGGUCCUUCCAAGUUUCCUUUUCUAAUGUUUCAAAACUAUUAACACAUUAUACAGGAGCUUAUAAAGGUCUUUUCAUGAAUAUUAUAUUUCAGUUAUUGAUUUGUUUUCCAAUUACGGUGCACACAGAUGUGAUGUGGUUAUAAAAUAAAUAAAUGUGUGGCUUAUGAAAAUAUGUUUUAUUCUUUUCAUAGUUUACUGUAAAUAUAUGAGAAAUAAAUAUAUUUUAAAGAAAAUUUGUUCUUUGGGGUUUCCAGAGAAAUUAAAGGGUAUGGCCACCAGCAAACAAAAGUACAACAUUCAUAAUUUUUAGGCUUCAGUUAAAACUUCUAGGGACAUCUGUGAAGGCCUGUAGUGGAAAUUUCAGUUGACUAUUGGAUAACUUCUACCAUGACACUUUAGGCCCCCAACUCACCAAUAUUCUGGUAAGACGAGAGUCCAGUUUCUAGUGCGAUCAUCCAUAGAUUGUCUGAUGAUAAUAAUUCACGUAUAAUAUUACACGUAUUCUUUAUAAGAGCCCUUUAAGGUAGACGAGACAAGAGCUAUCAAGUGACUGCACAAGCUCACACAUAUGCUAGGUAGCAGAACUAAAAUGCAAUCUCAGGUCUUCAUUCAUACCACACAUGACGCUCUCUCUCAAGACUAGAUUAUAUUUUUAAUAGGUUUCUGAUUCCUCAAUCACAUCUUCUUAUGUGGUGCAUCCAAACUCCCUUCUACCUAAUGAGGUAGAUAAAUCAAGCCAAUCAAAUCUAAACUCAUGGGAAAAACGCCUUCUGAAAAGAUGUUUUCUUUAAGAUAACUGGCUUUUAAAAGAAAAAUUUCCCUUCAAAUUACAGAGCAAAGUAUCUAAAGAAAUUCCCAACCAGAUUAUAUAACUGACAAAGUAGAGUGAAUUUUUUUUCUUCUGGACUAUCAUUUUUAUAUGAAGACAGGACAGUAAAUUCCAUGCAUAAACUAUUUUUCAAAGAUGAUGUGCUAUAGCCAUGAGAAUAUAGGAUGAAAAAAGUGAAUCAGUUACUUGGUGGUUAUCACAAAGCCUCAAAAUCAACAUUUCAGUUUCUGAUGCAUCUGCUGCUUUCACCUACUGAAAAUGCAAAGAAUUCUACUACUAUAAGAAAUAUUUAUUAUUUUUAUAAUUAUAAAGUUAAUAUAUGUUUAUCAUUCUUAAAGUGCAGAAAGAUAUAAAGAAGAAAAUUAGAAUUACAAUUAGAAUCACCACCAAGCAAUAAUGACUGGUUUCACUUAAAAAUUUCCUUUCCUGCAUUUGCACGUCUGGUUUUGUUUUUACAAAACUGGGAAUGUAUAGUAGAGUUUUGUUUUCCAUUUUCUUUCUCAUUUAUAUAAAUAGCAUUUUCCCAUGACACUAAACUCUGUAAUGGGGCAUUGGUGGAUGAAUAAUGGCCUAUGGAAUGUACCCUAAUUUAUUUAACCAUAAUUUAUUUAACUCUGUUAUUAGAAAUGUUGACAUUUUUAUUUUCACUAUUAAAAACAGCAAUACAAUAAACACUUUUGCAUGUAAAUCUUUCUCGAAAACUUUGAAUAUAUUCCUAGAAGUAAAAUUAUUACAUCAAAAGGCAUGAACUCUUUUAAGAAUGAGUUCAUAACACUGUUACAUGCAUUUCCAGGAAAAUCAUACCCAUUUACCCUUCAAGGAACAGAUUAUCCAAAAACCCUUGGGAGCAUUUAAUAUUUUAACAUUGUUUCAUCAAUUUGCUGGUUUAAAAAUAAAAUUGUAUUGUUGUUUUAAUUUUCAUGUACUUUACUAUUAAUAAAACUGAAGGAUUUUUGCACAUGUAAGUUUCACAUAUAUGAAUAUAUUCACCUGUGUGCUUUAUGUUUGUGUGUGUUUCCUUCUGUCUUAUGCCUAUUUUUCUACUGAUAUAUUCACAUUAUUAUUUUUAGAUAUGUAUUUUAAAUAUAUUUUCAAAUAUUAAUAAAGACACUAUUUUAUAUACUAAACAGAGCCCUUGACAUAUUACUAAUAAUGUUAUUAACAUUACUUACCACUUUGUCGUGUGCUUUUAAUUUUUAUACCAUCAAAUCUUUAAGGUUCCACUAGGUAUUCAGAGCUCAUAGUGUUUAAAACAUGUCAUUGCACAUUUGCGUAAAUAGAAUAAUUUUUCUAUCAAUCAGUUCAUUUGUGGCUGCAGAAUAGCCAUUAAACCAAGCUGCUUUGAGAGCCCAACACCCCAUAUUCAGCAGUCUCCACUGGCAGUUUUGGAGAGUAGUGAAUUAUACAAAAAUACACUUCCAAAACUCAGCCUUUCAUAACCAUUUUCAGUGGAGCUUUGAACUGACCCAGGGCCCUUUGGGAACUAUGUUUCUCUCCAGACAUAACAUUAUUUCCUGGUUAUAGAACUAAAUCUUAUCAAAAGCACCUCAAGACUCUUCUAGGGGACAUCAAAUACCCAUUGCCAAAUAACAUUUUGAUGAGUUAAGUGUAAAUGAAUGUGAAACAUAUGGACUAUAUUUCCUCUAAAUAAACAAGAAUAUAAAAUGGAAAGGUGCUUAGCCAAGUAGAUUUGGGACUGUUUGGGAAGAAAAAUGAGUUUAAUUCAAGCCUAAAAUAUAAUCCGUGUAUCAACUGUAUAUAUGAUCUCAAAAUAAGUUGGGUCUGUGCUGGCCACAGGUAUCAAUAACCCCUGAGAGAAGAUAGGAAUUCCAAGGGUAUUUCUCUUCAACCUAUAUUCUAAG
rnacentral:lncRNA from 1 species